rnacentral:rRNA from 1 species
GACAGAGGGUGCAAACGUUGUUCGGAAUUACUGGGCGUAAAGCGCGUGUAGGCGGCCAUCUAAGUCGGGCGUGAAAUCCCACGGCUCAACCGUGGAAGUGCACUCGAAACUGGAUGGCUAGAGUCCUGGAGAGGAAGGUGGAAUGCUUGGUGUAGAGGUGAAAUUCGUAGAUAUCAAGCGGAACACCGGUGGCGAAGGCGGCCUCUGGACAGUGACUGGACGCUGAGA